rfam:Gossypium raimondii Chr02_contig_21, whole genome shotgun sequence.
UAUUAAAAAUUUCAUCUAUUCGUAUUGUUAAAAACCGACGUGGUUAACGAAAUAACUAGAUAGUGACAUGUGGCGUACCGCAUCUACCUCAUCCUGAUGUAUAAGGACCAAUUUUUAACAGUGGAAAUUAAUGAAAUUUUUAACG